GACGAACCGUGCGAACGUUAUUCGGAAUAACUGGGCUUAAAGGGAGCGUAGGCGGGCUAUCAAGUCUGGGGUGAAAUCCCACGGCUCAACCGUGGAACUGCCUUAGAUACUGACGGCCUCGAGGGAGAUAGGGGCAUGCGGAACUGUAGGUGGAGCGGUGAAAUGCGUUGAUAUCUACAGGAACUCCGGUGGCGAAAGCGGCGUGCUGGAUCUCUUCUGACGCUGAGGCUCGAAAGCUAGGGGAGCAAAC
rnacentral:rRNA from 1 species